UUUGGUGUGGGAGAGUGAGCGGUGUGUUAGUGUUAGUGACUGAAGACGAUAAUGAUGAUCAUUAGAGUCUUGUCUCCUCAGUUUCAGGUUUCACUCGCUCUGCUAUGAAUAGACUGAAGCGGAGGCGGGGCCAUUUUCUGCUCUUGAACGAGGUCAUCGACAGAGACAUCAGCGGUCUGAGCGCCGCUGUGCGCCUCGACCAGUUGGACCAGUACCACCAGUACGACUCCAAAUUCCACAGAGCGUCUCAGUAACAGCUUCUGCCGACAAUCACAAACACUGACUUUCAAGUGCCUGAAAACCACACGAGUGUCACACGGUUCUUUCCUCCUCUGUCUCAGGAAUCUUAGCGCUAACUCGUACCUCAGCGACAAACCAAAGAUGUUUCUUUGUUUUUAAAAAAAUCUUUUGCACAACAAAUAGGGGAAAUUGUUGAAUAAAACUGAUUUAAAAAAGGGCUGUAAAUCGACGGUACGGUGUUGUAAUGCGACACCGUUACAACAAUCAGAGACUUGUGUUGUUAUUUAUUGGCUAAUUCAUUAUGAAAUCUAUUUUUGAUACUCUGGAUCUGAUCUGUUAACACUUAAAUCCUGCUGAUUUUAUUUUAUAUUUUUUAAAUAUCUCAGUUUAUGUUUCCUUCACUGUACGACAUCACUGCUGUUCAACCUGGAGGAACUCUUCUGGUGUGAAGCUUUAAGACGCUGAAUUAUUGAAAUGUAUCAUAAGGUUGAAGUAAAAACUAAACGGAAA